GGAAACAAGAUCAGCUGAGGAUUGGCAAGCAGGAGACACCUGCCUCAGUAAGCCUCAACUGUGAUCCCGGGGUGUCCUGAUCAUCCUGGCUGCCUGUGGUGUCCAGGGUUAGCUCUUCCCAGCAGUGGGGACAGCCGUGCUGCUCUUGUGACGCCUGAUCUCUGCAGUGUCCCCACCCAUGUGACCAGAACUCACUAUGCACGUGGAUUUUAUGCCCUGCAUUGAGGACAGCUGCUUAGUCUCAGCGCCGACAUCCUGUGAAGAAAAGAAAGCCAAGUGUCCAUCCUCCUGAGAACCAAGACAGUCCCAGGGUAUGCCCACCGGUUUUCAGGAGCCAAGCAACAAUGCACAUGCGUGAAGGAGCAGGAAAGAGAAAGGGGAAGAAUGUACGUGCUAAAUAAAGCUCAUCACA